AUAGCUUUCAUUGCAUCAUAUUAUUCCAAAUACAACCCAGUUUUGCAUUGGUCGUGAUCGUUCGUGAAUAGUCGAAAUAAAAAAUUUUUCGAAUUCAUUUAUAGAAACGCAUCAAACUCAAAAGUUGAAAAGAUGUAGUGCUGCUCUUUAUUUCUUCCAUUUACGGUGCACCCCAUAUUGUUGAUAUUUUGUAUUUGACGUCGGAUGCAUGGAUCCUAAAGCGGAUACUCUAGACUCCAUGGUCGGAUGCUAAAUAGCGGAAGAAUUUGUUCAAACCAAUUUAUAUAUUAUUGUUUUUUCCAUUAUUAUUAAGUAAAAAUGGUUUAAACUUACGUUGCAUUUUGUUAUAAAUGCAAACUUCUUUAAAAUUGUUUUGUUUUUGUUUAUCAAUUUAUUAUGUAAAAAAAGUUUUCAACAAGUUUCAGUUUGCGAUAAUUUUGUGAACUAUGCAAAAUAAAUCAUAUUAAGAACUUUAAUUGAUUCUUUGACACAUGAUUACAUUUGAUAAUCAUUUCUUACAAAACAUUUUAUCAAUAUAAAAGAGACAUUUUGCAAUUACCAACGAACUCAAAUGGCCACUAGUCAAUAUGCAGAAGAAGUAGGUUGUUGGAAGCGGGAAAAUGUUUUGGGAACUGGAGGAUUUGGAUACGUGGUGCUAUGGCGAAAUAAGG